rnacentral:rRNA from 1 species
AUUGAACGCUGGCGGCAGGCCUAACACAUGCAAGUCGAGCGGAUGAAGGGAGCUUGCUCCUGGAUUCAGCGGCGGACGGGUGAGUAAUGCCUAGGAAUCUGCCUGGUAGUGGGGGAUAACGUCCGGAAACGGGCGCUAAUACCGCAUACGUCCUGAGGGAGAAAGUGGGGGAUCUUCGGACCUCACGCUAUCAGAUGAGCCUAGGUCGGAUUAGCUAGUUGGUGGGGUAAAGGCCUACCAAGGCGACGAUCCGUAACUGGUCUGAGAGGAUGAUCAGUCACACUGGGACUGAGACACGGUCCAGACUCCUACGGGAGGCAGCAGUGGGGAAUAUUGGACAAUGGGCGAAAGCCUGAUCCAGCCAUGCCGCGUGUGUGAAGAAGGUCUUCGGAUUGUAAAGCACUUUAAGUUGGGAGGAAGGGCAGUAAGUUAAUACCUUGCUGUUUUGACGUUACCAACAGAAUAAGCACCGGCUAACUUCGUA